CUAAAUCCCCAGCCCCCUCGCGCCUGAUCUCGUCUGAUCUCCUGAAGCUAAGCAGGGUCGGGCCUGGUUAGUACUUGGAUGGGAGACCCCUUGGGAGUUUGGGAGGUGAAUGUGGA
rnacentral:rRNA from 1 species